GUAGUCCCAGCUGUAAACGGUGUGCGCUUGGUGUGGGGAGAUUUGACCCUCCCCGUGCCGGAGCUAACGCGUUAAGCGCACCGCCUGGGGAGUACGGUCGCAAGACUAAAACUCAAAGAAAUUGACGGGGGCCCGCACAAGCGGAGGAGCAUGUGGCUCAAUUCGAUGCAACGCGAAGAACCUUACCAGGACUUGACAUGCAGCUGCACGUCCGUCGAAAGGCGGAUUCCUUCGAGGGUGCUGCACAGGUGCUGCAUGGCUGUCGUCAGUUCGUGCCGUGAGGUGUUGGGUUAAGUCCCGCAACGAACGCAACCCCUGUGUUUAGUUGCCACCGCCGCAAGGCGAGCACUCUAAACAGACUGCCUGUACAAAACAGGA
rnacentral:rRNA from 1 species